rnacentral:rRNA from 1 species
UACGGAGGGUGCAAGCGUUAUCCGGAUUUAUUGGGUUUAAAGGGUCCGUAGGAGGGCUGAUAAGUCAGUGGUGAAAUCCUAUCGCUUAACGAUAGAACUGCCAUUGAAACUGCCAGUCUUGAGUGUUGUUGAAGUAGCUGGAAUAGGUAGUGUAGCAGUGAGAUGCAUAGAUAUUACCUAGAACACCAAUUGCGAGGGCAGGUUACUAAGCGACAACUGACGCUGAUGGACGAAAGCGUGGGGAGCGAACAGG